GCUGGAGGUGAAAGUCUGGCCUGGCAGCCUUCCCCAGGUGAGCAGCAACAAGGCCACGUGGUGCUGGGUCUCAGUCCUCCACUUCCCGUGUCCUCUGGAAGUUGUCGGGAGCAAUGUUCCGCUUCUACGUGUUGGUUAUGGGAGUUUCUGCCUUCACCCUUCAGCCUGUGGUACACACAGGGGCUGCCAGAAGCUGCCGGUUUCGUGGGCGGCAUUACAAGCGGGAGUUCAGGCUGGAAGGGGAGCCUGUGGCCCUGAGGUGCCCCCAGGUGCCCUACUGGUUGUGGGCCUCUGUCAGCCCCCGCAUCAACCUGACAUGGCAUAAAAAUGACUCUGCUAGGACGGUCCCAGGAGAAGAAGAGACACGGAUGUGGGCCCAGGACGGUGCUCUGUGGCUUCUGCCAGCCUUGCAGGAGGACUCUGGCACCUACGUCUGCACUACUAGGUAAGCCUCCCCGUGCGGGGCUGGGGAGGGGAUCCUGGCAGGAUGGAGGCUUGUGAGGGUCUUUAGUCAUGAUCUGGAUCUCAGAAUCCAGUGUACAAAAUACAAAUCCAGUGAAUCCACAUUGCAUCCAGCUUGCUGUUCCUGACACAGCCCCCCAACCCUACAGUCUCAUUCUGUCUCCAUUAGUCUUUGCUCAAAUGCCACCUCUUUGGAGACAACGUCCCUAGCCAUUUUAGCUGACAUCGCCCUCUGUCACUCUCUCCUUAUUCUGCUGUAGUUUUCUUGGGAUAGGAUUUUCCCAUCUGACACAUUUGUGUGCGUUACCGUAUUUAAUGUUUGUCUACCCAUUAGAAUGUAAA
rnacentral:sRNA from 1 species